rnacentral:lncRNA from 13 species
AGCUACUUGAGAGGCUGAAGUGAGAGGAUCAAUUGAACCUGGAACGUCAAGGCUGCAUUAAGCCAUGAUCACACCACUGCACUCCAGCCUGGGCCACAGAAGUCUCACUCCAUUGCCCAGGCUGGAGUGCCGUGGCAGGAUCUCUGCUCACUGCAACCUCUACCUCCCAGGUUCCAGCAAUUCUCCUGGCUUAGCCUCCAGAAUAGCUGGGAUUACAGGCAUGUACAACCCAUGCCCUGCUAAUAUUUGUAUUUUUGGUAAAGACGGGGUUUCACCGUGUUGGCC